GAUGAACGCUAGCGGUGUGCCUAAUGCAUGCAAGUCGAACGGGAAGUCUUGAUUAUAUUGAGACUGAGAGUGGCGGACGGGUGAGUAACACGUAGGUGACCUGCCCUAGAGAGGGGAAUAACCAGUGGAAACGCUGGCUAAUACCCCAGAAGUCAGCAAAGUUAAGUAGGUUGUUGACUAAAGACUACGGUGCUCUAGGAGGGGCCGU
rnacentral:rRNA from 1 species